AUUGAACGCUGGCGGCAGGCCUAACACAUGCAAGUCGAACGGUAACAGGAAGCAGCUUGCUGCUUCGCUGACGAGUGGCGGACGGGUGAGUAAUGUCUGGGAAGCUGCCUGAUGGAGGGGGAUAACUACUGGAAACGGUAGCUAAUACCGCAUAAUGUCGCAAGACCAAAGAGGGGGACCUUCGGGCCUCUUGCCAUCGGAUGUGCCCAGAUGGGAUUAGCUUGUUGGUGGGGUUACGGCUCACCAAGGCGACGAUCCCUAGCUGGUCUGAGAGGAUGACCAGCCACACUGGAACUGAGACACGGUCCAGACUCCUACGGGAGGCAGCAGUGGGGAAUAUUGCACAAUGGGCGCAAGCCUGAUGCAGCCAUGCCGCGUGUAUGAAGAAGGCCUUCGGGUUGUAAAGUACUUUCAGCGGGGAGGAAGGGAGUAAAGUUAAUACCUUUGCUCAUUGACGUUACCCGCAGAAGAAGCACCGGCUAACUCCGUG
rnacentral:rRNA from 1 species